GGAUCUGGUCCAAAUGCAGUGGUGAUUACAUGUCGUUACAAAUUUCUUUUUAUCUUUUCUGCUCUUACUUCUUCAUUUGACUUGCCUUAA
rnacentral:Y_RNA from 1 species